ACUAAGUAGUUUUCUUUUUUGUUUUUUGUUUGUUUGUUAGUUUUUGUUUUUUAGAGACAGGAUCUCUUUGUGUGAUAUCCUUGGCUGUCCUGAAACUCACUUUGUAGACCAAGUUGGCCUUGAACUCACAGAGAUCUGCCUGCUUCUAUCUCCCAAGUGCUCAGAUUAAAGAAAGAAAAUAUAUCUUACCUCAGUGAAUCACAAAAGAUGUUAUCUACAUUCCACAAUAAAAAUCCCAAUAAGAAGACAGUCAAGGAUGUAUAACCUAGUCCUCUGAGCCACGGAUAAACCCUGUGGGGAAAAGAAAAGCAACAUGACAAUCUUAAAGUCUAUCAUGACCAGAGGUGAGAGCAGGAAGUCAACAUUUUUAUGAGCAACUAAAGUCCUCAGGAGACUGAGAGCAGACUGGUUUAUUCCUGUAAGUAACACUUUUGCCAAUCAUGUAUUACACACUUUAUAAAGAUGCUUUUCAAGUGUAUCCUGCUAGGUUGUUCUUCAGGCUGGUCUCAAUGUCAGGGCUCCUACACUCCUCUUGCUUUAAACUCCCAAGGAGCUGGGACUAUAGGAGUUUACCAUUGUGCCUGGAUAAUUGCUGGAUGUUUAGCUAUUUAAAGGUACUGAGAGAAAAUGGUCCAUCAAGACUGUUACAUAAGCAAGAUAAUCCAAUAUGCCUGCCCAACAACUUUACACACACACACACACACACACACACACACACACACACACACACAACCCUAAAUCACAGAAUAUACUAAGUUCUUAAUGUGUCAGGUAUAGUUCUAAGCAUUUCAGUGGGAAGCAGUCAUUAAGAAAAUGCUGCUCUCAGGAAUCACAGAAUGGUGGGGCAGGAAAUGAAAGCAGUAUUGCUUAUUUUUGAAAAAAGUAAAGGAAUUUGGAGGUGAUAAAGAGGUAUUUGGGUGGGGAAUCCCUCUGUCACUGUAAAUACACUUACAAAGCAGGUAUUCUUUCACAUCACUGUUAAGGAAGGUGAAGGGUGGUCAACAGCAGCUUAAUCACUUUUUAUAGCUUCAAUAAAGUCGACUUAUUUAUUUGGUUUUUUGAGACACAGUCUUGCUAGGUAGCCUUGGCUGGCCUGCCACUAGGCUGAUCAGGCUGACCUUGAACUUUUAACUAUCCUCCUUUUAACUCUGCAUCUAAUGUACUAGGAUUAGAAGCAUACACCACCAUACUUGCUUUAGAAAUACAUAUUUAUAAAGUACAUUUAGGGGCUACAGAGAAGGCUCAAUGUUAAGAGCACACACUGAGUUUGGUUCCCAGUACACGUAGGCAGCUCAUAACUGCCUGUGAGUCUAACAUCAGGGAUUCCACUCCCUCUUCUGGCCUCUGAAGAUACUGCCCCUACUCACACACAGACACACCCACAUAAACACAAUUAAGAAUUGAAUACAUUUUCAAAAAUGUACAUAUGAAUCCAGGCUCACACCUCUAAUCUCAGACUUGGGAGGCUGAGUCAGAAAGAUGCAGUGGUGGGAGGCCACCCUGGGCUAUGGGAGAGAGAACCUGUUUCAAGACAAAAACAGAUGAGCAGAAGGUACAUGCAACUACUACUGUGAUAAAAAAAAAUAACAUCUAAUCUCAGAAGGUAAGAGGGAAAGAGGGGAGAGGGAGAGAAAGAGGGAGCUGGAGACUGAGGAUGGAAUCACACUCCAUGCUCCCCUUCUUCUAUGGCUUCUUUCAUUUGGUAUUGAUUCGUUCAUUCUGUCAUUUAUACGACUACAUCAUUCUUUUUUUAUUACUAAUACUCCACAGCUUGGAUAUAGCACAAUUUAUUUGGCUCUCCUAAUGUUGAUAGAUUUUUGUUUCCAGUUAUUGACUCUUACAAAUAAAGCAUCUAUGAACUUUCCUAAUUGAGACAAUGUGUUGAAAAAUACUUUCAUUUCUCUUCCAUAACUAGGUGGGAAAGGAAUGGCUCAAUUGUAUGGGUGAAUGUUUAGCUUUUCAAGACACUCUUCAAGCAUUAUCCCCCUUUCUCCCUUUCUUAUCUCUCACCCUUCCGUUCUCUUUCUCGGUUAUGGAAUGAAACUAGGGACUUUAACAUGUUAGACAAAUUUGCUACCACUGGGCAAUCCCUUAGACACUGGGGGUAAGCGGUGGUACUAACUUACAUUUCUACCAGCCAUGUACAAGUGAUUCCAGUUGUUCUGAAUCUAUGCACACUGGGUGUGUCAGUCCCUUUCAUUUCAGUUACAGCUCUAGUACUACAAUGGUAUCUCAUUGUGUUUUUUAUGUACUUUCCCCCCAAAUUAGUCAGGGGCAUUGUUUGUGUAAUUAUCUGCUAUCCAUAUAUCUUCCUCAAUAUGGCAUUUAUUGUUUGAGUGGUAAUAAUUCUUUAUAAAUUCUGGUGAAUCCUCUGUUGCAUAUAUAUUUUGGAGAUAUUCUCUCCAAGUCUGUGAUUUGCACUUUGUUUUCUGAACAUGGUCUCUAGGAACCAAUUUUGUACUUUUUUUCAAGCCCAGUUCUUGCUGUGAUUGCCUAGGAUGGCCUUGAGCUAUAGGUCAAGCUAUUCUCCUGCUUGGGUUCUUGUUCAUGCCACCUAGUCUCACAAAAGUUUAUUAAUUUUAAUUAACUUCAAACUCAAAUUUAUCAUUUUUCUUUAUUGUUUGUGUCCUAAUAAAUCUUUGCCUAAUUAAAGUUUGUAAAGACUUCUACUAGAAUUUAAUAAUUUUAGCUUUAACAUUUACAGAUAUAACUCACUUCUGUUAUAUUUUUAUUAUGGACUGACAACACAGGGUACAUAGGCAUAUACGCUUCCAUAGCAGGCAUAUAACAAUAUGUGGUUGAAGGCUAUCUUCACUUACAGGAUUAGGCAUGGUGGCCCACACCUGCGACCCCUGUACCUAGGAGGUUAAGGCAGAAGGUUCAUAAAUUUGUGAUCAGUUUGGGCUACACACCAAGAGGCAUUAUGCUUCAAAAGAACUAGUAUGACUAGUUUUCUAUUAAGUUACCUCCACACAUUUUUAUGGAGGAUCGGGCCAGUAUGGUAUGCUAGUCUAAUUUAGAUAUUCUCUACUCUAUGCUUACCAGCUAUAGUACAACACCGCCUUGCCUGGCACAGUAGAAUAAGUCAAGCUCUUAAGUGCUCCCCAACCCUCUCUUUUUGGUGCUGAACAAAGGGCCUUGUUCACGGUCAGCACAUACACUACCACACUUCUGGCCCGGUCCUCUAAGGCUGCUGCUCUCUUUAAAAACCAUUCCAUCUAUUCUUGGUCUUUUGUGUCCUAUGUGAACGUUGGAAUCGAGUUCUCCACUCUUUUAAAAGGAUUCUUUUAUGUUAUGCUUAUGAGUGUCUUGCCUACAUGUAUGCCCAUGCACCAUGUAUGUUCCUGGUGCUAGCAGAGUCCAGAAAAAGACAUUGGAUCCUCUGGGACUGGAGUUACAGGGAAUUGUGAGUCGAUAUGUGAGUGAUAGACUUAAACCUGAGUCCUCUGGAAGAGCAGCAAAAGUUUUUAACCUCUGCGUCUGGCCCGGUUUGUUUGUUUUGAGACAAAGUCUCAUAAUGCAGUCCAAGCUGGUCUAGAAUUCUCUUUAUACUUUCUUUUUAUUGUUUUGUUUUGUUUUUCAAGAUAGGACCUAGAACGUGCUCUGUAGACCAAACUGUCUUUGUACUCACAGAGAUCCACCUGCCUCUGCCUCCCAAGUACUGGGAGCCCCUAGAACUCUCUUUGUGGACCAGACUGGCCUGCUCCCCCAGUGACGAAAGGUACGCACCACUAUGCCCAGCAAAUUUCACAUUUUUUACCAAAAGCCUGAAAAACUUUUGAUUGUGAUUAUACUUAACCUGCAGAUAAAGUUAGGAAAAACUGACACCUUAAUGACACUGACUUUUCUAACCAGUAAGGGAGUAUAUUUCUCAAUUUAUUUAGUUCCUUUAGUCUCAGCAAAAAACUGUGGUUUCAAUGCAUAAUCUGGCACAUGUUAGAACACUGUCCAAGUAUGGAAUCAGGUGAAAAGAAUUCUGAGUACUUGUGAGAAAACUUCAAGAAAACAAGACAAGAGUCUUGUGACCUCAGUUUCUUCAAGAACACACUGUUCUUGGAAUGUUUCAGAGGCCCUCCCAAGUGUAGUAGAUGGAGUGAGUUUACUUGGAUCACUCAUUACAACUGGCUGUUGUUGUUUAUGUGUUUAUGUUGUCAUGCUCAGCUUGUCCUGUGAUUGUACACUAUACUAUGUGACUCUUCUUAACCGUCAGAGUAUAAAUUGCCUGGUUCUCUGAAUAAAGUUGGCUAGUGCAUGAGACUUUAGCCUCAUUUAUCAGCUCCAUCCUCCCCGGUCCCACCAUCUCUAGCACAGUAAACAGGCACACAUUUGUUAUUUCUACCCUAAACAUUUCAUGAUGUUACAAAUUGUACAUUAAAAAUUUUCACUUUCCAUUCAUUCCCAUUAAUAUAUAGAGGUGAUUUCCCACCCACUUCACACUAGAAAGAUGGCUCAGUGGUUAAGAGUACCUGGUGCUGGGUUGGGGAUUUAGCUCAGUGGUAGAACGCUUGCCUAGCAAGCGCAAGGCCCUGAGUUCAGUCCCCAGCUCCAAAAAAAAAAGAAAAAAAAAAAAAAGAGUACCUGGUGCUCUUCCAGAUGACUGGAGCUUGAUUCCCAGGACUCAUAUCCAGUGGCUAACUUCUGCUCUAACUCCAAGGGAAUAUAAUACCUUCUAUGUCACCCAAGGGCACCUUCACUAAUAUGCACAUACAUACGUGUACACAUUGAUAAAGUAAAUCUUUAAAAAAAUGAAUGUUCUUUGGAAUCCUGACUAGACACCUAUAACACCUAAAAUUGAUAAAUUACACUCAGUCUUUUGGGUACAUGUUUUUUUUUUUUUUUUUGGAUAUAUUCUUGUGUUAUCUUCAAACACCACGUUAGACAGGACUUCCAUCAGCAUAGUUCUCAGUAAAAUGGCAACAAUAAAAUCAUCUUAUUUUAUUCUAGAUACUACAAAAAUUUGAAAAAACACACAUCUUAGGUGUUUUAUAUGCUACAGAAUCUAUAGCCUAAGAAAAUUCCUCUUACUACUAAUUAGAAAGAUCUUUUGUUUUUAGAUUGUGAACAAGUGUUGACUUUUAUAGGCUACUUUCUGUAAAUCUACAGAUAUAUAGUUUUUAAUCUUCUAUUUUUUAAAAAAUUGUAAAGAGUAAUACCAGAUUUUCAAAAGAUUUGUUUUACUGUAAAUAUCUGCAUGUAAAUGUGAUUUAUUUUUAUGUAUUUAUCUAUGUUUUGGGUUUUUUGAGGCAAAGGCAGCCAUGUAGCUAAGGGUAGCCCUGGAACUCAGAGUGGAUGACGAUCUUGAAUUCCAGAUCCCCCUGUCUCUGCCUACCAAGGGCUGCAAUUACAGGUAUGCACUACCAUCCCUGACUUGAUGUGGUUUUCUAAACUUACCACAGCACAUCUUCAGCUCUCAGGAGAAGUACAAAGCAAAACUCUUCAGUGGAGUGAAAUGAAUGUCAUUGGUUAUCCAGGUAGCGGGGGGCGAAGGAGAGAGCAAGAACUUUGUCAGCACACGGUCCAUUCAUGCUCAGUACAGACAAGAUUCUGGAGAUACACUACCAGCAUGGGGAAUGGGAAUAAAAUGCAGAGUUCUCAGAAUGUCUGUGUCUGAUGUGGUCAGCCUUCACUCUACACUGGCUGCCUUCAUGGUAUAAAGCUCUCAUCUCAGAAGUCCUCUCUCUUCUUCCCUAGGGAAUGCUUCCACCUCUCUUCCUGGGUCAGUCC